CCAGACUCCUACGGGAGGCAGCAGUGGGGGAUAUUGCACAAUGGGGGGAACCCUGAUGCAGCGACGCCGCGUGGGUGAAGGAGCGUUUCGGCGCGUAAAGCCCUAUCGGCAGGGAAGAAGGAGGACGGUACCUGACUAAGAAGCCCCGGCUAACUACGUGCCAGCAGCCGCGGUAAUACGUAGGGGGCAAGCGUUAUCCGGAUUUACUGGGUGUAAAGGGGGCGCAGACGGCAGCGCAAGCCAGGAGUGAAAGCCCGCGGCCCAACCGCGGAACUGCUUUGGGAACUGUUUUGCUGGAGUAUGGGAGGGGUAAGCGGAAUUCCUGGUGUAGCGGUGAAAUGCGUAGAUAUCAGGAGGAACACCGGUGGCGAAGGCGGCUUACUGGACCAUAACUGACGUUGAGGCUCGAAAGCGUGGGGAGCGAACAGGAUUAGAUACCCGCGUAA
rnacentral:rRNA from 1 species